UGUUUUUAGACCAAAUUCAAAUUUGAGAUGUAAAUGGCGGGAUCUAAAAACUUUUCUUCAAAAUUUGUUUUAUGGAAUAUCACAUAUUUCCCAACACCAAACAAAAUGUAUUUCUGGCGAAAUCGCCUCCAACGUUCCACUCACCAGCAACAGCAACCUCAACAUUGCCUUGCUUAUUACCGCACGCCUCCUCUAUGUUUUCUCUAUCGUAAUCCCUUGCCUCCUCAUCCUGGAUAUACAAAAUGCUUUGAUGGGUAAUCCAAAUUUUUAGAUUUGAGAGGUAUGUUGUUCCUUUAACAAAGGAUGAUAAUGCUUCAAGAUUCAAGCAAUGAAUGGGGCAUUUGCAUUUUGAAAGAUGCUUGGAGUAGAGGGAAUCUCGGCUUGCCAAAGAUGAGGAUGAGUAGUAGGCCAAAGAUGAGAAUCAACAAGUUGAACAUGAAGGAGCUGUCAUUCUUGGCUUUGGAUGAGAUGGAUUCAUUAGUUAGAGAUAAAAAUUAUUAAUAGCUUAUUUCCUAGACUUUCUGAAGUGUAGAGGAGGAUUGGGUUGUUUGCUAGUUUUUUAUCAAGCUUCUGUUAUGAGUUGGGUGUUUGUUAUAAGUUGUAUUGUACAUAUGUCAUGUAUUGUAUGCUAUUUAAAGAGAAACAAAUUUAUAAAGAUGAAAGCAGAAAAUUAGAACUCAAA